AAGAGACAGCAGCCGCCGCGGUAAUACGUAGGGUGCAAGCGUUAAUCGGAAUUACUGGGCGUAAAGCGUGCGCAGGCGGUUAUAUAAGACAGAUGUGAAAUCCCCGGGCUCAACCUGGGAACUGCAUUUGUGACUGUAUAGCUAGAGUACGGCAGAGGGGGAUGGAAUUCCGCGUGUAGCAGUGAAAUGCGUAGAUAUGCGGAGGAACACCGAUGGCGAAGGCAAUCCCCUGGGCCUGUACUGACGCUCAUGCACGAAAGCGUGGGGAGCAAACAGGAUUAGAUACCCCAGUAGUCCCUGUCUCUUAUAC
rnacentral:rRNA from 1 species